rnacentral:rRNA from 1 species
UACGUAGGGCGCAAGCGUUGUCCGGAAUUAUUGGGCGUAAAGGGCUCGUAGGCGGUUUGUCGCGUCGGGAGUGAAAACACCGGGCUUAACUCGGUGCUUGCUUUCGAUACGGGCAGACUAGAGGCAUGCAGGGGAGAACGGAAUUCCUGGUGUAGCGGUGAAAUGCGCAGAUAUCAGGAGGAACACCGAUGGCGAAGGCAGGUCUCUGGGCAUUAACUGACGCUGAGGAGCGAAAGCAUGGGGAGCGAACAGG